rnacentral:rRNA from 1 species
GUUGACCUCGAAUCAGGUAGGAAUACCCGCUGAACUUAAGCAUAUCAAUAAGCGGAGGAAAAGAAACCAACCGGGAUUACCUCAGUAACGGCGAGUGAAGCGGUAACAGCUCAAAUUUGAAAUCUGGCUCCUCUGGAGUCCGAGUUGUAAUUUGUAGAAGAUGCUUUGGGUUGUGGGUUCGGCCUAAGUUCCUUGGAACAGGACGUCAUAGAGGGUGAGAAUCCCGUAUGUGGCCGCGACCCGCGCCUAUGUAAAGCUCUUUCAACGAGUCGAGUUGUUUGGGAAUGCAGCUCAAAAUGGGUGGUAAAUUUCAUCUAAAGCUAAAUAUGGGCCAGAGACCGAUAGCGCACAAGUAGAGUGAUCGAAAGAUGAAAAGCACUUUGGAAAGAGAGUUAAACAGUACGUGAAAUUGUUGAAAGGGAAGCGCUUGCACCCAGACUUGGGCGCUGCUGAUCACCUUGAGUUCUUCUCAAGUGCACUCGACAGCGCACAGGCCAGCAUCGGUUCGGGUGGCUGGAUAAAGGCCGUAGGAACGUAGCUCUCUUCGGGGAGUGUUAUAGCCUACGGUGCCAUGCAGCCCAGCCGGACCGAGGACCGCGCCUUCGGGCUAGGAUGCUGGCGUAAUGGGUGUAAGCGACCCGUCUUGAAACACGGACCAAGGAGUCUAACAUCUAUGCGAGUGUUUGGGUGGUAAACCCAUACGCGGAAUGAAAGUGAACGUAGGUGAGAACCCCUUUGGGGCGCAUCAUCGACCGAUCCUGAUGUCUUCGGAUGGAUUUGAGUAAGAGCAUAGC